UAUCCACAUGAUUUCUAGAGUGUUGCUGGGCAUACAUUCUGUUAGAUUUGUAUCCUAGAAGUCAGUUGUUGGUUGACACAUUAUGUAAUUCCAUGAUUUAAUCUUGUACUUAUAAUAUUUUUAUUAUCAAUAAAAAAUUUUUCAUUUCAAUCAUAUUUAUGUGUCCAUGAUUUGUCUUAAAAAUUAACAAAGAUGAUUUUUGUAUAUUCUCAAAGUGUUAAAAAUUUGAGACAUAUAUUAAUUAGUGGUUAAUUUCUAAAUAUUUUUUAUCAAAGAAUAUUCAUGGAGGAUAGUGAUCAAUCCAUUC
rnacentral:lncRNA from 1 species